rnacentral:rRNA from 1 species
UGGGGAAUAUUGGACAAUGGGGGAAACCCUGAUCCAGCAACGCCGCGUGGAGGAUGAAGGUCUUCGGAUUGUAAACUCCUGUUAGGGGGGACGAAGGGAUGUCGGUGAAUAGCCGGCAAACUUGACGGUACCCCCAGAGGAAGCCCCGGCUAACUCUGUGCCAGCAGCCGCGGUAAUACAGAGGGGGCAAGCGUUAUUCGGAAUUAUUGGGCGUAAAGGGCGCGUAGGCGGCCUUGUAAGUCUUGGGUGAAAUCCCUCAGCUCAACUGAGGAACUGCCUCGGAUACUGCAAGGCUUGAGGCCGGGAGAGGGUAGUGGAAUUCCCAGUGUAGCGGUGAAAUGCGUAGAUAUUGGGAGGAACACCGGUGGCGAAGGCGGCUACCUGGACCGGUUCUGACGCUGAUGCGCGAAAGCGUGGGUAGCAAACAGG